rnacentral:rRNA from 1 species
UACGAAGGGGGCUAGCGUUGCUCGGAAUCACUGGGCGUAAAGCGCACGUAGGCGGCUUCUUAAGUCAGGGGUGAAAUCCUGGAGCUCAACUCCAGAACUGCCUUUGAUACUGAGGAGCUUGAGUCCGGGAGAGGUGAGUGGAACUGCGAGUGUAGAGGUGAAAUUCGUAGGAUAUUCGCAAGAACACCAGUGGCGAAGGCGGGUCUCUGGGCCGUAACUGACGCUGAGGAGCGAAAGCAUGGGG